rnacentral:rRNA from 1 species
CCUACGGGAGGCAGCAGUGAGGAAUAUUGGUCAAUGGACGAGAGUCUGAACCAGCCAAGUAGCGUGAAGGAUGACUGCCCUAUGGGUUGUACACUUCUUUUAUAUGGGAAUAAAAUGUUCCACGUGUGGGCUUUUGUAUGUACCAUAUGAAUAAGGAUCGGCUAACUCCGUGCCAGCAGCCGCGGUAAUACGGUGGAUCCGAGCGUUAUCCGGAUUUAUUGGGUUUAAAGGGUGCGUAGGUGGAUUGUUAAGUCAGGUGUGAAAGGUUGCGGCUCAACCGUAAAAUUGCAGUUGAAACGGGCAGUUGGGAGUAGAGUAGAGGUGGGCGGAAUGCGUGGUGGAGCGGUGAAAUGCUUAGAUAUCACGAAGAACUCUGAUUGCGAAGGCAGCUCACUGGACUGCAACUGACACGGAGGCUCGAAAGUGUGGGUAUCAAACAGGAGUAGAUACCCGUGUAGUC